UACGGAGGGUGCGAGCGUUAAUCGGAAUUACUGGGCGUAAAGCGCGCGUAGGCGGUUUGAUGAGUCCGUCGUGAAAGCCCUGGGCUUAACCUGGGAACUGCGGUGGAUACUGUCAGGCUAGAGUGUGGUAGAGGGGAGUGGAAUUUCCGGUGUAGCAGUGAAAUGCGUAGAGAUCGGAAGGAACACCAGUGGCGAAGGCGGCUCCCUGGACCAACACUGACGCUGAGGUGCGAAAGCGUGGGGAGCAAACAGG
rnacentral:rRNA from 1 species